rnacentral:rRNA from 1 species
UCCCGUAUGCGACCGGCGACCAACCCCAUGUGAAACUCCUUCGACGAGUCGAGUUGUUUGGGAAUGCAGCUCAAAAUGGGUGGUAUAUUUCAUCUAAAGCUAAAUACCGGCCAGAGACCGAUAGCGCACAAGUAGAGUGAUCGAAAGAUGAAAAGCACUUUGGAAAGAGAGUCAAAAAGUACGUGAAAUUGUUGAAAGGGAAGCGCUCGCAACCAGACCUGCCCGCGGCCGAUCAACCGUCCUUUUGGGCGGUGCACUCGACUGCGAUCAGGCCAGCAUCGGUUCGGGCGGCCGGAUAAAGGCCUUGGGAACGUAGCUCCUUUCGGGGAGUGUUAUAGCCCUUGGUGGAAUGCGGUCAGCCUGGACCGAGGACCGCGCUUCGGCUAGGAUGCUGGCGUAAUGGUUGUGAGCGGCCCGUCUUGAAACACGGACCAAGGAGUCUAACAUCUAUGCGAGUGUUUGGGUGUCAAACCCAUGCGCGUAAUGAAAGUGAACGGAGGUGGGAACCCGCUUGGGCGCACCAUCGACCGAUCCAGAUGUCUUCGGAUGGAUUUGAGUACGAGCAUAGCUGUUGGGACCCGAAAGAUGGUGAACUAUGCCUGAAUAGGGUGAAGCCAGAGGAAACUCUGGUGGAGGCUCGCAGCGGUUCUGACGUGCAAAUCGAUCGUCAAAUUUGGGUAUAGGGGCGAAAGUACGUAUUCUGUGCGAUCCUGUGACUUUUGGAGCGUUCAAUGCUAAUUUUUCUUUUUAGGACUAAUCGAACCAUU